AGUCAUACACAGAGAGACAGUCCAUAACAAAAACAAACCUCUCACAAGAGAGCUAUUCAUUCAGAUCAUGCGCCACAAUGGCUCAGACUAAAUACUUGGGGUUUCGAGUCUGACGACAGCACGAGGGCGUGGCUUGUUCGCAAGGUCAAGGAUCAUGCGCCGUUUACAUGCCCCGAAAAGACGGCGAAACAGCCCCAGAGAAACAACGUCGAUCUAGGUUACUUAAAGGUCCUUUGUUUCCUGUGCAUAAUGGCAGAGGCAGACCAGACCAGAAAUACUCUAGAAUGGCUCCCUGGUUGUUUUAAAGUGCUGAACAUCUAAAAAAACACUGUGUCUGGCUUCGUCACCAAUAAAUCGGACCUCAGCACUGUACGAGAAUGCCACAAGAGAGAAACACUGACAUUUUUCAUUGUUUGGUCUGAUGAUAAAAGAAAGAAAGAAAAAGGGCCACAUCGUCUGGUUUGGCAGGUGGAAGAUUUAUCAGAGAAUGUACCACUUACCACACGUACCACCUACCUAAGCAUUGUUGCAGACCAUGUACACCCUUUUAUGGAAACGGUAUUCCCUGGUGGCUAUGGCCUCUUUCAGCAGGAUAAUGCCUCUGCCACAAAGCAAAAAUGGUUCAGGAAUGGUUUGAGGAGCACAACGAGUUUGAGGAGGUAUAUGGCUGUGAGGUACAGUCAUACUAAUGAAUUGGGAGGAUUCUGGGAAUAUGGUGGUCUCUGCUCUGCACCACAAAAAGAUGCCAGCAGUUGGGGGGCUUUUGUACUACUGAAUGCUCUUGCCCUGACGAGAGGCAUCAGUCCAAGCCAUCUGACACAACGCCAUGCAGUGGAAAUGAGGAAGUUUGUGUACCACAAACUCAAACAAAAUGCAUUAUGUUAAAGGUUUAGGUAACCCAAAAAUGAAAAUUCUGUCAUUAAUUACUCGCCCUCAUGUCGUUUUAUACCCAUAAGACCAUCGUUCAUCUUCAGAACACAAAUUAAGAUAUUUUUGAUAAAAUCGGAGAGGUUUCUGAUUCCCAAGAGAAAGCAACAUAAUUACCACAUUCAUAGAUGCAAACUCCUCACCUUUCAGUGACAACUCACCUUUUUGAGAUCAAAAUGGGUCACUUAUGGGAUUUGCAUAGAUCCAAUGUUUUUAUGGGGUGGGGGGGUCUGAGAUGUGGGAACGGUGAAGAGAGAGAGGGCAAACAGUUAGCAGUUUAGCUCAGUAUUGCCGUCUAAUCAGCCAACAUUGUCUUAAAUAGCCAUAGCACUUCAUCUUUUUAUAACAUGAGGUUUUGACCAAAUGUAGCCUAUUCAAUCUUGAUUUUGGUGAAAUGUUGCAACAUUUUUUUGUGUGUGUGAAAUUACAGUUUUGGACAUACAUGGUAAUAACAAAUAAAUUAAAAAAUCAAAGUAACUACAAAUGAGCAUGUAAAGCAAAUAUCUUUAAAAAAAAUUAUGUUCGGAGCAUGCCCCCGCCCUAAUGUUCUCACUUUUUUUCCCCCUUACCUGUUUGCAUCCCUGAGGUCCAGAGAAGUAGUAAAAACAUAAUAGAAAUAAAAACUAAAAUAGUCAAUGUGACUACAGUGGUUCAACCUUAAUGUUAUGAAACAAAAAUAAUGACUUUAUUUAAUUUCUUCUCUUACCUGUCCUACUCUGUUUACGUUGUAGAGACAGAGAAGUGUUUCCGGGUUCUACAUCAGAACGCCAGCUCAUAAUUGGUCUGCCUCAGUAUCACACACAUGCGUUGUGUUGCUCAUGUGAAGAACAUCGGCCAAAUUGAGAUUCGCGUUCUGACGUAUAACCUGGAAGCGCUGCACUGUCUCUACAACUGUCUCUGUAAUUAAUAACACAAAUUUCACUUUUGGGUGAACUAACCCGUUAAUGUUUGUUCUUUUCUUCCCUUGGGUGCUUUCCCUACUUUUUACUUUCUCUUUCAUAGUGUCACAGCACCUGACUCUGUGUUUACCGUUACGUCAUUGACCCCAUCUCCAAUGUGUUUGCUGCACCGUGGCAUAAAAUUGGAGUCAAGACGCCACUCGCGAGGCCUUCUGUUGUUGUGUUAUAGCCUCUGUCUGUGUUUUCUAGGGACUACAGUGUAGACCCUGUGAGAUUAGAUUAGCAUGUUCCCAGUUUGUGUAACUGUACUCUUGUGUAUCUGUAAUCAUUCAUCUUGCCUCUCAUGUCCCUUGACCAAUUCUCCUCCCCUUCCCAAUUUGUUACUCAUUUGUAAUUUGUAAUAACUUUUUUUGCAUAUGUGUAAAUAGUAUAUUUUCUUUUUUAUUUCUAUUUCUUCAUUGUAAACACAUUUUCCCCUUCUCAUGCUAUUUUCAUACCCUUACAUAUUGUAAAUAAAUCAUUUGCUUGUUCA